rnacentral:lncRNA from 1 species
AUACAACAUAAUGGGUACGGGAGACAAAAACUCAUGACAUAACUUUCUUAUACAUGGAUUAAUGGGUAUUUAAACUAAAAAGUUAUAAUCACCCAUUUCCAUGUUCAAAAAUAAUUCUCCUAAUAUGAACAAACAAAUGAACUAACUUAUUAUACAAUUUCUUAAAUGAGAUGCAAUUCUAAAUGUUGUAAUUAACACAUAUAGAGGAUAGGGGUAAAAUAAUAAGGAAUAUCAUGCAAAUGAGAAAUGAUCCUAAAAAUGAAAAUAUGCAUGAAAAUGUAAUGAAUAUCACACGAAGAUGAAUCUAAUGCAUAAACAAUCUAAGAGUCUAGCAUUGGACUAGCAAGUAAACGGAGGGGGAAAAACCACAACUAGCAUUGGACUAGUGUGGUAACGUCACGCAUUAAUAAUAUAUAAUAAGACAAAUAGGCAUAAAUUAAAACAAAUAAACACAUAAGAGCACGUAGCACGUAACACAUAAGCAUAAUAUCUAGAUGCAAAAAUCCUAAAGAAAGCGGGUAAGCCAUUAACACAUAAGUCACAUAAACACGCAACCUACCUAUUACAUCGGGGAGCCUAACUACAAUCUAAAUGGGGAAAGUAUAAUAAAAUAAACCUAUUUAUCCUAUUUAUUACAUUGGUCUAUCUAAUUACAAUUUUUGUAAAAAAUAUUACCUAUCUAUUACAUCUUGAGGUAUUUAAACACCUCUCAAAUAAUUAAAAAUUAACUAAACAAACAUAAGAAAAUUCAAAUGAACAUUUAAAUCAAAUAAAUAAAGCAUAUGGAAAUAUAUAAACACAUAUAAACACUUAGGAGCACAUAAGAGCACGUAAUUGAUAUUGAAAUAAUAAUAAUAGAGGUACCUCCCUUUUGAAGUGGUGACCUAAUGGAGUUACAUGGCCCUAUUUAUACUCAAAAUAAACAAAAGAAUCAUAGCACCAAUUUAAUUGAAAAAUAACAAUAAUGAUAAGAAAUUCAUCUUAAUAUGUCUAAACGCCUAGAAAUUUAAGAACAACUAAAAAUUACAAGUUAAAUAUAUUCAAAAGUAACAUAAUUAGCUAUUAAAGAAAAGAAACAAUCAUAAUAAAGAGAGUCUAAAUUCAGUAGGGAUUGAAUUGCAAAAAUUAAAAAACUUUUGGAGGUAAAAAUAUAAUUUUCUAAAGUUUAGAGGCCAAAAUUAAAUAAAAGAUAAAGUUAAGGGACCAAAGUACAAUUAAUUUAAGAACCUAAAUAAAAGAAAUUUAAAAUGUUCUGAGCCACAGUGAAACUACUCCAAACAUCAGGGGCUAAAGUGCAAAUCCGUUUCUGGUCUCUUAGGAAACAAGGCCACUGGGCCAAAUUUUGUUUAUUUUCUGGGCCAAAAAUCCCUUCAGCCCAAACGAAACCCGAAAAGAAAUAAACCAAAAUCCAUGCCCAAAACCCAACCCAAAAUAACCACCAGCCCAUCAGAAUAAAAAAAACAUUAGCCCAUUCUUUUAUUGAGUAAAUCUUUCCUACACUGACGGUGUAUACACUAUCAUCGUUAGAUUCAUGACAUGUGUGUAAAAGUUGAAUUUCAAAUUCAAAUUUUACAUAGUUGUCAAUAAUCCAACGCUGAUAGUGUAUACACUGUCAGUGUAGGAAAGAUUAAUCCUUCUUUUUUUAUUUCCCUUCUCUUUUUUUUUUCUUCUUUUCUUUCUUCUUCCCUUCCUUCUGUUUAUUCUUCUUCCCCGGCGACCUGAAGCUCCUCGCACCGCCGGGCGCCGGCGAAUUUUUCCGGUUACAAAAAAUUAUCAGCAUACACACCCCAACUCGAUUUUUCGCGUAGAAUCCGUUUUUCAAGUUAGUUUUUACAAAAAAUGACCCGAAAAUGGCCAAAAUAGCAAAAGUCAGUCCAGUUUUUAUUUUCUUAAAACCCUUAAACCUUCACCAAAAAUCAUAAAAAAUUAUGCCAAAACCCUCCUUAUAACUUCUACAUUACAACUAUAAUUUUAAUUUGACAAGAAAAUAACAUAAAAAGGCUAAAUUAAAGCAAAACAGCCCUUAAAAAUUCAUUUUCUUUCGUUGCCUUUUAGACUACAAAAUUAACACAAAACUUAAUUAAACAAACUCCUCAAACCAGUAACUAGUCAUGAUUAUUCAUUUUAACAACAAUACAUGUACAAAAUUAACAUUUUAAUCCGAUUUUCCAUCUUGGCAUUUUUUCAAACAGUUAAUACGCAUACAUAAGAAACAUUUCCUUUCCUAAAUAUGGUUCAUGCCAUUUCCCAAAUUUUUAACAAUACAACAGCAACAAUGCAAGGCAGCAAAAACAGGAGAAAAUAAGUAACGAAAUAUGAAUUUAAUGUGAAAAACAAAACUGAAAAAAAAAAAGAAAAAAAAAUACCUCUAGAAUAUUGCAGUCACUUGGUUGAGCUUUGUGGUGAAAUUCCUAAAUCUAAUGGUGUGACCGCUAGUUCCCCCCUUUUGUUUGAUUUGGGGAUGGGUGUGUGAACUUAAGAGAAGCAAAGAGGGACCGAGAGUUGGGGUCCUGGGUUUGAGUUGUUUGUGUUGUUUUUAAGAAAAUGAGAGGGAGCCUUGAGAAAGAGCCGAGAGAGUGAAUUGAGGGAGGAUUUUUUUUACUUCUCUGAUGGUCUCUUUUCUAUCUGGGC